UGCGCUCCUUGACCAAAUAAGUAAGUUCAGGUUUUAUUUCCUGACCAUUUAAGAGAUAUCAUCCACAGUGUGUGAAUAGGACGUCCAAAGAACACCAGAUGCAGGUGUUGACCACCAAAAAGGAAAACCAUCCACUGAAUUCUUGAUGAUGGACACCAGCCACCAACAAGCACAACUGCAGAUAUCUGGAUGAUAUUAAACUGAGGUGUUGCUGCAUGCGCUCUGGGUAAUCAUCAUGACGAAGGCAAAUCCCCAA
rnacentral:lncRNA from 1 species